GUCCCACUCGGUGUUGACUUCUAUAAUUUGGAAAGUAACAUUAUCAAAAGGAUGUUUCGUUGAACGAAGAUGUCUUGUGAGAGGACAGUUUUUGUUGGUUUUGUAUACGAUGAACGAUGGUUAUUUAGCCUAAUAUUAAAUUUGUCCAUUGUUUCACCCACAUACUGAAUGCCACAAGUGUCACAUUUUAAUAUAUAAAUUGAGUUCUCCGUUUUACAGUUGGAGUUAGAGUAGAUGGUAUAAUUUUGUUUAGUAACGGAGCUGAUGAAAGAACUGCUUGUAUAUUGGCAGCUUUACAACACAGACAUGAUUCCUUCGACCACAUUGUUUGUAGCAACUGGGCGAUGGAGUAGGCUGCUUUGCUAAUACAGAUGUCACUAAUUUGUCACGAAUGUUUUUAGGUCUUCUGAAGGCCAUGACUGGUGGUGAUGAAAAUGCAUCUUUUUUUUUUUUUUUUUUAGAUUUAAGUCAUUUUCUAUAAUUUUACAAUGCUUCUGAACAAUGGAUGACACAUUUUUAAAAUCAGGAUGGUAAGUGAGUACAAGGGGUGUUCUGUUAGCUGCUUUAUUCUUAUCUUUGUACUCAAGAAGUUCUUGGCGACUAGUUCUGUUUGCUCUUUCGAAAGCGCUAUCAAUGAUGUUAUUAUUGAAUCCUCGAACAACUAGAUGCUUACGAAGUUGUCCAAGUCUAGCAUUUUUCGUAUUUUCAGUAGAGCAUAUUCUCUUGAUUCGUAAUGCCUGGCUGAAUGGGAUACCACGGGAGCAGUGUUCAGGAUGGCAACUUUUAGGAGGAAGGAAUUGAUGUUUGUACGUUUGUUUGGUAUGAAGGUCCGUUAUAAUGGUUCCGUUCUUGAUGUAACUCGUAGUAUCGAGACAGUUUAUUUUCUCCAUAGAUGAUUCAUAUGUAAAUUUUAUUGAAUGGUGGAAAGAGUUACAGUGUUCUAGAAAUUCAUUAAGAUGUUCUUGUGAAUCUGUCCAUUUGAAAUCGAUAUCGUCAAUGAAUCGGAA
rnacentral:lncRNA from 1 species